rnacentral:rRNA from 1 species
AUUGAACGCUGGCGGCAGGCCUAACACCUGCUAGUCGAACGAGAGGCAGACGGGUGAGUAAUGACUGUGAAACUGACUGAAGGAGGGGGAUAACUCCUGAAAACGGUAGCUAUUACUGCAAAACAUCGUAUGUACCCAGAUGGGAUUAGCUAGUAGGUGGGGUAAAGGCUCACCUAGUCGAUGAUCCCUAGCUGGUCUGAGAGGAAGACCAGCCACACUGGAACUGAGACACGGUCCAGAUUCCUACGGGAGGCAGCAGUGGGGAAUAUUGCACAAUGGGCGCAAGCCUGAUGCAGCCAUGCCGCGUGUAUGAAGAAGGCCUUCGGGUUGUAAAGUACUUUCAGCGGGGAGGCGUUACCCGCAGAAGAAGCACCGGCUAACUCCGUGCCAGCAGCCGCGGUAAUUC